CUGAACCUUCGGGGAACGUUAACGGCGUCGAGCGGCGGACGGGUGAGUAAUGCCUAGGAAAUUGCCCUGAUGUGGGGGAUAACCAUUGGAAACGAUGGCUAAUACCGCAUGAUGCCUACGGGCCAAAGAGGGGGACCUUCGGGCCUCUCGCGUCAGGAUAUGCCUAGGUGGGAUUAGCUAGUUGGUGAGGUAAGGGCUCACCAAGGCGACGAUCCCUAGCUGGUCUGAGAGGAUGAUCAGCCACACUGGAACUGAGACACGGUCCAGACUCCUACGGGAGGCAGCAGUGGGGAAUAUUGCACAAUGGGCGCAAGCCUGAUGCAGCCAUGCCGCGUGUGUGAAGAAGGCCUUCGGGUUGUAAAGCACUUUCAGUCGUGAGGAAGGUAGUGUGUUUAAUAGAUGCAUUAUUUGACGUUAGCGACAGAAGAAGCACCGGCUAACUCCGUGCCAGCAGCCGCGGUAAUACGGAGGGUGCGAGCGUUAAUCGGAAUUACUGGGCGUAAAGCGCAUGCAGGUGGUUUGUUAAGUCAGAUGUGAAAGCCCGGGGCUCAACCUCGGAAUAGCAUUUGAAACUGGCAGACUAGAGUACUGUAGAGGGGGGUAGAAUUUCAGGUGUAGCGGUGAAAUGCGUAGAGAUCUGAAGGAAUACCGGUGGCGAAGGCGGCCCCCUGGACAGAUACUGACACUCAGAUGCGAAAGCGUGGGGAGCAAACAGGAUUAGAUACCCUGGUAGUCCACGCCGUAAACGAUGUCUACUUGGAGGUUGUGGCCUUGAGCCGUGGCUUUCGGAGCUAACGCGUUAAGUAGACCGCCUGGGGAGUACGGUCGCAAGAUUAAAACUCAAAUGAAUUGACGGGGGCCCGCACAAGCGGUGGAGCAUGUGGUUUAAUUCGAUGCAACGCGAAGAACCUUACCUACUCUUGACAUCCAGAGAACUUUCCAGAGAUGGAUUGGUGCCUUCGGGAACUCUGAGACAGGUGCUGCAUGGCUGUCGUCAGCUCGUGUUGUGAAAUGUUGGGUUAAGUCCCGCAACGAGCGCAACCCUUAUCCUUGUUUGCCAGCGAGUAAUGUCGGGAACUCCAGGGAGACUGCCGGUGAUAAACCGGAGGAAGGUGGGGACGACGUCAAGUCAUCAUGGCCCUUACGAGUAGGGCUACACACGUGCUACAAUGGCGCAUACAGAGGGCGGCCAACUUGCGAAAGUGAGCGAAUCCCAAAAAGUGCGUCGUAGUCCGGAUUGGAGUCUGCAACUCGACUCCAUGAAGUCGGAAUCGCUAGUAAUCGUGGAUCAGAAUGCCACGGUGAAUACGUUCCCGGGCCUUGUACACACCGCCCGUCACACCAUGGGAGUGGGCUGCAAAAGAAGUAGGUAG
rnacentral:rRNA from 1 species